rnacentral:rRNA from 1 species
GACGAACGCUGGCGGCGUGCCUAAUACAUGCAAGUAGAACGCACAGUUUAUACCGUAGCUUGCUCCACCAUAGACUGUGAGUUGCGAACGAGUGAGUAACGCGUAGGUAACCUGCCUGGUAGCGGGGGAUAACUAUUGGAAACGAUAGCUAAUACCUCAUAAUAUUCAUUAUUGAAUGAUAAUUAAUUGAAAUGUUCAAUUGCACCACUACCAGAUGGACCUGCGGUGUAUUAGCUAGUAGGUGAGGUAACGGCUCACCUAGGCGACGAUACAUAGCCGAACUGAGAGGGUGAUCGGCCACACUGGGACUGAGACACGGCCCAGACUCCUACGGGGGGGAGCAGGAGGGAAACUUCGGGAAGUGACGGAAGUCUGACCGAGCAACGCCGCGGGAGUGAAGAAGGUUUUCGGAUCGGAAAGCUCUGUUGUAAGAGAAGAACGGGUGUGAGAGUGGAAAGUUCACACUGUGACGGUAUCUUACCAGAAAGGGACGGCUAACUACGUG